rnacentral:rRNA from 1 species
ACUAAAUAGAUACCCCGGUAGUCCACGCCCUAAACGAUGUCUACUAGUUGUUGGUGGAGUAAAAUCCAUGAGUAAACGCAGCUAAACGCGUGAAGUAGACCGCCUGGGGAGUACGGUCGCAAGAUUAAAACUCGAAGGAAUUGACGGGGGCCCGCACAAGCGGUGGAUUAUGUGGAUUAAUUCGAUGCAACGCGAAAAACCUUACCUGGCCUUGACAUGCCACUAACGAAGCAGAGAUGCAUUAGGUGCCCGUAAGGGAAAGUGGACACAGGUGCUGCAUGGCUGUCGUCAGCUCGUGUCGUGAGAUGUUGGGUUAAGUCCCGCAACGAGCGCAACCCUUGCCAUUAAUUGCCAUCAUUUAGUUGGGCACUUUAAUGGGACUGCCGGUGACAAACCGGAGGAAGGUGGGGAUGACGUCAAGUCCUCAUGGCCCUUAUGGCCAGGGCUUCACACGUAAUACAAUGGUCGGUACAGAGAGUUGCCAACCCGCGAGGGGUAGCUAAUCUCAGAAAGCCGAUCGUAGUCCGGAUUGUUCU